UUACUGCAGUCUUAAGUCACAUGAUCCUUCUGAAAGCAUUUUUAUUUGCUGCUCAAGAAACUGAGAAUUGAUUGGAUUAUGAAAAUUGGAUAACUUUUGUGUGGUAACUUUUUCUACUAACGUUAAUAGAACAUCCAUUUAAACUUAUUAGAGCUUCUUUGAAAAGACUUUCUAUUAACGUUACUGGAAGAAUGUUUGUUCGUAACUUUGAGAGAACCCUGCUCUGAGAUCGUUCCCUGUUAGCUGGGUAGUUGCAAUGGAAACAUUUAACAACUACUGUGUGCAAACAAAGUUUAUCUGAAAUUACAUGUAGGCUAAUAGUUUUACUUAGCAAGUUGGAUUUGGGCAUUUAUGUAGCCUAUUGUCAUGGCUACAGGUCCUGUUUGGAGUACAAUGCAACACAAGGCUUUCUCUCCAUUUAUUUAGUGAGGUGAUAAGUGUCUCACCAUGCCAGAGUUUCUAUCUUUAGCGAGGGGAGCGCACGUCCCGUGGGAAGAGGCCACAAUGUACAUUCGCUAAAGAACAGACACAUCCCGCCUGUCACACGCUGAUAGUGCUGCCACCCCGUCAUAAAACUCUGACUCGCGCUCCUGUUUUCUCUCUUGUCGGCUGUCAGCCUCAGAUGGUGUCACAGCCUGUCGUAAACCUUUUCUUGCUCUUUAUCUCCCCAUCUAUACCUCCUUCUCAUUUGUCUUUGUGUGUCGUGUCACCCGCCGUCUCUAACCCUCUUCUGAUUGCCAGAAAGAGCCCUGCGAGGGUCCCGAGCAUCGGGCCUCUCUGAUGAGGUUAUCAGGGUUGGUGAAAGGGCCCCAGCGCCGCGACCCCUGGAGUGAGAACAUAUGUCUGCACUUCAUACCAGCACUGAUAACACGCGUGCCAGAAUAUCAAAGAAACUUGAGGAUGAACACUUCAAAUCUGAAUCAGGAAGAAACCGCCUAGCAACUGCCAAAAUGCCUUAGCAACACCCUGGCAACCAUUACAGUACCCCUGCAUUGUGACAGUGAUUUGUGAAAAUACACAGGUGCCAGAAUAUCAAAGAAACUUGAGGAUGAACACUUCAAAUGUGAAUCAGGAAGAAACAUCAACCAUCCAAAACUACCAUCCAAAAUGCCUUAGCAACACCCUGGCAACCAUUACAGUAACCCUGCAUUGUGACAGCAAUUUGUGAAAAUAC